rnacentral:rRNA from 1 species
UAUACGACCGUACCGUAAACCGACACUGGUGCGCGAGAUGAGUAUUCUAAGGCGCUUGAGAGAACUCAGGAGAAGGAACUCGGCAAAUUGACACCGUAACUUCGGAAGAAGGUGUGCCCUAUUAGUGUGUAGCGAACAACGAAGCAUGAAUGGGUUGCAAAAAAUCGGUGGCUGCGACUGUUUAUUAAAAACACAGCACUCUGCAAACACGAAAGUGGACGUAUAGGGUGUGACGCCUGCCCGGUGCUGGAAGAUUAAAUGAUGGGGUGCAAGCUCUUGAUUGAAGUCCCAGUAAACGGCGGCCGUAACAAUAACGGUCCUAAGGUAGCGAAAUUCCUUGUCGGGUAAGUUCCGACCUGCACGAAUGGCGUAACGAUGGCCACACUGUCUCCUCCUGAGACUCAGCGAAGUUGAAAUGUUUGUGAUGAUGCAAUCUCCCCGCGGAAAGACGGAAAGACCCCAUGAACCUUUACUGUAGCUUUGUAUUGGACUUUGAACAGAUCUGUGUAGGAUAGGUGGGAGGCUUUGAAGCAGGGUCGCUAGAUCUUGUGGAGCCAACGUUGAAAUACCACCCUGGUGUGUUUGAGGUUCUAACCUAGGUCCAUUAUCUGGAUCGGGGACAGUGCAUGGUAGGCAGUUUGACUGGGGCGGUCUCCUCCCAAAGCGUAACGGAGGAGUUCGAAGGUACGCUAGUUACGGUCGGACAUCGUGACGAUAGUGCAAUGGCAUAAGCGUGCUUAACUGCGAGACUGACAAGUCGAGCAGAUGCGAAAGCAGGACAUAGUGAUCCGGUGGUUCUGUAUGGAAGGGCCAUCGCUCAACGGAUAAAAGGUACUCUGGGGAUAACAGGCUGAUACCGCCCAAGAGUUCAUAUCGACGGCGGUGUUUGGCACCUCGAUGUCGGCUCAUCUCAUCCUGGGGCUGUAGCCGGUCCCAAGGGUAUGGCUGUUCGCCAUUUAAAGAGGUACGUGAGCCGGGUUUAAAACGUCGUGAGACAGUUUGGUCCCUAUCUUCCGUGGGCGCUGCAGAUUUGAGGAAGCCUGCUCCUAGUACGAGAGGACCGGAGUGGACACACCUCUGGUGUAUCGGUUGUCACGCCAGUGGCAUUGCCGAGUAGCUAAGUGUGGAAGAGAUAACCGCUGAAAGCAUCUAAGCGGGAAACUCGUUUCAAGAUGAGAUCUGCCGGGGCCUUGAGCCCCCUAAAGAGUCGUUCAAGACCAGGACGUUGAUAGGUCAGGUGUGGAAGC